UUUGCGACGUAUUAAAUUAACGUAAGAAAAAUUGUUAUAAUUACGACAUUUAGAUUACAUCUCACUCUUACAAUAAUAUUGUGUUCAGCAUUAGAGAUGAUUUUAUUACUAUAAAAAGUGUCAUCAAAGGUUAUCGAAAACACUCGCGACGAAAUAGAAUGCGUAUAUACUCGACUUCGUAACUUCUGAAAUAUAAAAGCAACGCAUAGUUUUUUCAUACCGUCACAGCUAUGCACGAUUUCCAUUUAGUUCACGACGGAACUUCACGACGAAAUUACCGUUCAAUUACGAUACGCCGAACCAUUCGAGUUCAAUACUGACUCUGAAAUUUUUCUGAAUAGCGAAAGAAACGCGCUUCUCUCUUGGAAUCAUCAGUGUCAUCAGGUUAUCGAGCUAUGACCGUUAAUGUUUAAGCGGGAUUACACACCGUGCAUGGCACAGUUGUUAGUCGCCCGGUAUUAGUUGAGAAGGAUGCGUACAUUUUACACGGUUCUUCUACUCGUGAUCCUCUCUGUGAGCCUCGGCGGAUGUUGGUCCUUCUCGAACAUCGCGAUGUCCAUCGACAAAUUGAUACGACCGCAAAACACCUCGCAAGUUUUAAAUGUUAACGGAAAUGACAGCGCUACAUCAACGGCACCUCCGGAGGUCACGGUACAAGGAAGAAUAAUAUUCGUACCACGAAGGAAUAAAGUCUGUCAACCGGGUCAGCAAGUCGAUCGGCGUGGCAAAUGUAGACAAGUGUGGUGAAGUUUGUUCUGAUAAAUACGCAAGAUUCUUUAUAGACAGUUGGACCACUCUUAUUUAUGAAAGAAAAGACAUCUCCGGGAAAGAGAAGGCUUUAACAUUAAGGAUUAAAAAGGAAACAAGAAUAUUAUUCUAAUCAUGGGAAUAAAUAUCUAACAGGCAUCUCUGUAGGUCUAUGAAAAUUAUAGGAAAUUAGGGAGAGAAAGAGAGAGAGAUGUAUUUAAUUAAUGAUUUAUGUAAGAUCUAUAGUUCAUUGAAUCGAAUUGGCAAUCGUAAAUUUCAUUCGAAAUGCAAUUAAGAUGUA